rnacentral:rRNA from 1 species
GACGAACGCUGGCGGCGUGCUUAACACAUGCAAGUCGAACGGACAGGCCCUGCUUUUGUGGGGUGCUCGAGUGGCGAACGGGUGAGUAACACGCGAGUAACAUCCCCUUGACUUUGGGAUAACUCCAGGAAACUGGGGCUAAUACCGGAUAGGAGCUCCUGCUGCAUGGUGGGGGUUGGAAAGUUUCGGCGGUUUGGGAUGGACUCGCGGCUUAGCAGCCUGUUGGUGGGGUAGUGGCUUACCAAGGCUUUGACGGGUAGCCGGCCUGAGAGGGUGACCGGCUACAUGGGGACUGGGGUGCGGCCCGGAGGCCUACGGGAGGCAGCAGUGGGGAAUAUUGGGCAAUGGGCGGAAGCCGGAUGCAGCACGCCGCGUGCGGGAUGACGGCCUUCGGGUUGUAAACCGCUGUCGCCUGUGACGAAGCGUGAGUGACGGUAAUGGGUAAAGAAGCACCGGCUAACUACGUG